rnacentral:rRNA from 1 species
GAUGAACGCUGGCGGCGUGCUUAACACAUGCAAGUCGAACGAUUAAAGCCCCUUCGGGGGUGUAUAAAGUGGCGAACGGGUGAGUAACACGUGGGCAAUCUGCCCCUCACUUCGGGAUAACUCAGGGAAACUUGAGCUAAUACCGGAUACUCCGGGAAGGUCGCAUGGCCAACCCGGGAAAGCUCCGACGGUGAGGGAUGAGCCCGCGGCCCAUUAGCUUGUUGGUGAGGUAACGGCUCACCAAGGCGACGAUGGGUAGCCGAGCUGAGAGGCUGAUCGGCCACACUGGGACUGAGACACGGCCCAGACUCCUACGGGAGGCAGCAGUGGGGAAUUUUGCGCAAUGGGCGAAGGCCUGACGCAGCAACGCCGCGUGCGGGAUGAAGGCCUUCGGGUUGUAAACCGCUUUCAGCAGGGAUGAAACUGACAGUACCUGCAGAAGAAGCCCCGGCUAACUACGUGCCAGCCGCCGCAGUAACAC